AAGAAUACCUGAUUUAGAUAGCAUGAUCAUGAAGAUGGAAUUCCCAGGAUGAGGCUUAUCCAUUGCAUUCCAGAUGUUCUGGUCCCCGGAAUUUCCCUAAAUGCAGGAAACUUGACUGCAUAAUUUGUGGUAUGGGGGGCUGUGUUUGUACUUUCCUCUG
rnacentral:snRNA from 1 species